rnacentral:rRNA from 1 species
AUUGAACGCUGGCGGCAUGCCUUACACAUGCAAGUCGAGCGGCAGCGCGGACUUCGGUCUGGCGGCGAGUGGCGAACGGGUGAGUAAUGUAUCGGAACGUACCAUUCAGUGGGGGAUAACGCAGCGAAAGUUGCGCUAAUACCGCAUAUUCUGUGCGCAGGAAAGCAGGGGAUCGCAAGACCUUGCGCUGAUUGAGCGGCCGAUAUCAGAUUAGCUAGUUGGUGAGGUAAAGGCUCACCAAGGCGACGAUCUGUAGCGGGUCUGAGAGGAUGAGCCGCCACACUGGAACUGAGACACGGUCCAGACUCCUACGGGAGGCAGCCGUGGGGAAUUUUGGACAAUGGGCGCAAGCCUGAUCCAGCCAUGCCGCGUGAGUGAAGAAGGCCUUCGGGUUGUAAAGCUCUUUCGGCCGGGAAGAAAUCGUAUGGGUUAAUACCCUGUGCGGAUGACGGUACCGGCAUAAGAAGCACCGGCUAACUACGUGCCAGCCGCCGCGGUAACAC